UUUUCUUCGUCGGCAACCUUCAAAGUCCUAGCCUCAUAAAGGUUCUAACUUCUCAAAAAUUCUGUCUUCUCUCUUUUCACAGCCUUUUUAACCACCACUGCCGCCAUUUCCGUCUCCUCGUCAGCCUUCCUCCAUUGCCCCCUUCCUCCAUUGUUACAGAUUUUUGGCGAUGGUUGCCUCUGGUUCUUGUCGGAAUUCUAGCCAUUGUCUAGGACUUUGGAUUCUUAUUCUUGCUAGAUCCUUACUACUACAGUCUUGAAAUCAAUCUGUUCACACUAUCUUGGAGGUCUAAUUAAUAUUUCUGCUUGUUGUUUGUUGAAAUCUGUUUGUGAUUCUGCAAGAUUGGCUGAAGGACCUUCUGUGCAUCCCGAGGAGCAAUAUGUUUUUGGAUAAAUCAAUAUAGAUUCCUUUCCUAUGUCAUACAAAAGUUCUUUAGCUAUCUUUUUGGCUAUCUACUAAUCAUGAAAGCGGUACACUAUCCAUGAUUUUUCUGACUAUCGUGUAAAGGUAUUCUUUCUUCCCUUUUUCACUGUUUGGUUGUUUGAUUGUUUCUAUUCUCCUAUCUGGCUGUUCUCCUCUCUAGCUGCUAUGGAGUCCUUAAAUCACGACAAUAAACAACUCUCAACAUCUCUGACUCUCGGUUCUGACGCUGUGACAAGAAAUCUAAUAGCAACUACAUUAAAGCUCAAUCGUUCAAACACCUGACUUUUGUGGGUCUAAUCGUUCAAACCAUGGUUCUAAUGGCUCCUAUCUUUUGUGGGUCUAAUCGUUUAAACCAUGGUUCUCAGAAUCGUCUCGAAUCAGGUGGUUCGAGGCAUGCUGAACCGGACAGGCGGAGAAUUGGGACGGUUCCGACGGAGAAAUGGCACAAGCAUGUGUCGGAGAAGAAAGGGGGAAAUAUAGGGGGGAGAAAGAGGAGAGGGAGAGGCCGAUGGCCCUC
rnacentral:lncRNA from 1 species